rnacentral:ncRNA from 1 species
GAAACAAAGAAAAAGGUGCGUGCCGCACUCACGAGGGACUGCCAGUGAGAUACUGGAGGAAGGUGGGGAUGACGUCAAGUCCGCAUGGCCCUUAUGGGCUGGGCCACACACGUGCUACAAUGGCAAUGACAAUGGGAAGCAAGGCUGUCACGCGGAGCGAAUCCGGAAAGAUUGCCUCAGUUCGGAUUGUUCUCUGCAACUCGGGAACAUGAAGUUGAAAUCGCUAGUAAUCGCGGAUCAGCAUGCCGCGGUGAAUAUGUACCCGGGCCCUGUACACACCGCCCGUCACACCCUGGGAAUUG